GAUGAACGCUGGCGGCGUGCCUAAUACAUGCAAGUCGAGCGAACGGACGAGAAGCUUGCUUCUCUGAUGUUAGCGGCGGACGGGUGAGUAACACGUGGAUAACCUACCUAUAAGACUGGGAUAACUUCGGGAAACCGGAGCUAAUACCGGAUGAUAUUUUGAACCGCAUGGUUCAAAAGUGAAAGACGGCCUUGCUGUCACUUAUAGAUGGAUCCGCGCUGCAUUAGCUAGUUGGUAAGGUAACGGCUUACCAAGGCAACGAUGCAUAGACGACCUGAGAGGGUGAUCGGCCACACUGGAACUGAGACACGGUCCAGACUCCUACGGGAGGCAGCAGUAGGGAAUCUUCCGCAAUGGGCGAAAGCCUGACGGAGCAACGCCGCGUGAGUGAUGAAGGUCUUCGGAUCGUAAAACUCUGUUAUUAGGGAAGAACAUAUGUGUAAGUAACUGUGCACAUCUUGACGGUACCUAAUCAGAAAGCCACGGCUAACUACGUG
rnacentral:rRNA from 1 species